AAGGAAGAGCACAGUAAUCUUGUAUCUGUAAUGCAAGAGAAGAGAUGUGAAGGUCAUCCCAAGUCUUCCUACAACCCUAAAGUGAAGCCUGAAGAAUGCUACAGUGCUGCAAAGUUUUGAUGUCAGCAGGAUAACAAUUGCAUCAGUGUGCACUGUCAGCCAGGACCUCUGGCUGCCAGGAGUUGCUAGGAUAUCUCUCACAGGAGAUGACAGUUUGUGGUUUUGGAAUUGCUCAAGAAAAUAUUUCAAGUCUCCAUCACUAUGACUCUGAGUUUGGAGCUAGUUCAUGCUGUACACUGAAUGCUACAUGAGAUAGGCUGAAUACAAGAAGUCAGUGAAAUAAAUCUAUAUUAACAGCAUCUCUAUCUUGCAGAAUGGAAACAAGCACAAAGAAUCUGAUCUUCUCAGGGCUGCUUAUAGAACUUCUGGCUCCACGUACCUUGAAGGAGGCUCAGCUGCUCUGUAAAUAGACACAUCUGGUCCCGUUCCAGACUUGGGAUGCUGUGUUUUAAUCUAUCUUCACAUAGAAGCCAGCAUGGCAAGUGGCAGCCACUCUGUAACCAUAAGUUCUUGUACCUGUGUUUCUUCUUCUCCUGCAUGGCAAGAACAGUGAUGUGCCCAGGGAAGUACUAGCUAACUUAGGAAUGUUUGUAACCUUUUCUGAGGGUUUCUUCCUCUCAAAGCUCAAGGGACUGAGACACCUCAGAAUUAAGAUCAUUCUAGUGAAGGACAACCUAAAUGUGUAGGAAAUCAGUUUUCAGAUGUUCUCAUCUACUUUGUUUCAAAACCAUUUAUCAAACACUUUGCUUUAAAUGUGAUCCAAGAGCACUCAGGCAGUGGUCCCAGAAUACUCCCGAGCAGCCAGGCCAUCUGGCUGGAGCAGUGUGUGCAAGGCCUGGACAUGUUGUAUGUAAUAUGAGGUUUACCUCACAUAAUGAUUCUUCAGGAGCUGAGCGGGCUCCUGGUCAUCAAAAAUACAUAGUGAGAGAGAUAGUC
rnacentral:lncRNA from 7 species